rfam:Gossypium raimondii Chr04_contig_98, whole genome shotgun sequence.
UGCUAAAAAUUUUAUCCAUCUGUACUAUUAAAAACUAGUGUGGCUUAUGGAAUAACCGGAUAAUGACACAUGGCAUGUCACCUGUACCUCAUGUUGAAGUACAAAGAUCAGUUUUUAAUGGUAAAAAUAGAUGAAAUUUUUAAUA